GGGUAUAUAGCUCAGUGGUAGAGCAUUUGACUGCAAACUCAGGGCUUCUUGCUUCAAAAUCCAGUGCUUUAUCCA
rnacentral:tRNA from 1 species